AGCCUGUUCUAUAAUUGAUACCCCCCAAUAAACCUCACCACUACUAGCCAAACAGCCUAUAUACCACCGUCACAAGCUUACCCUAUGAAGGAACAACAGUAGGCCAAAUAAUUUAAAAUUAAAAAGUCAGGUCAAGGUGUAGCACAUGAAGUGGGAAGAAAUGGGCUACAUUUUCUCUAAAGAAAAAUACGAAAUAUUUAAUGAAAUAAAAUAUAAAGGCGGAUUUAGUAGUAAGAAAAAAAUAGAGAGUUUAUCUUAAAUCGGCAAUAGGACAAGCACACACCGCCCGUCACCCUCCUCAACAAUAUCACAAACAACAUAUAAGCACACUAAACAAAGAGGAGGAAAGUCGUAACAUGGUAAGUCUACCGGAAGGUGGACUUGGAAU
rnacentral:rRNA from 1 species